UAAAUUCAAGCUAGCGUAGGUGUAGCUGUAAACGUAAACGGCUUCGGGCUGACAGGUUGUUUCGCAGUUCAUAAGAAUUUCAAACAUUUCUAUAUACAACACCCACGUAUCUUUUCAAUAUGUACAGAAAUGGUGCGUCGUUUCCAGAACAGCUCGCAUUCUAAGUGAUUUGGCGAUAACCUUGAGUGAGAUUUCAAUGAAUGACUUUGUAUGAGGCGCAUGUGAGAGAAUAGCAGAUGCAAAAGAUUCGUAUGGCAAACACAAGGAUGACCGAAGAUGACAUCAUCCGAGACAUAAACAAAUAUUCGACUGACUGCACGUAACUAAAAUAAAUCACGACAAAUCAAACUCAAAUCAAAUGAGUAGCUAGUUGCUUGGGCGAAAUACUCGUGAUGUUCUGCGCGCCUGCCGCCGCCAUAUGGUCAAGAGUCAAGCUAAUCAAGCAGCUAACCACGUUUUUUAGUGGCGCUAUGGGCUAAAUUUCAAAAUUAAAAACAAAAAUGUGUAUUUUUUUUCAAAGCAAUAACAAAACUGGUCACCGAGAGCGCAAGUCGAAGCGUGUGAUGCGUGUGUUUGUUUUUGCAUAUUGCUCUUGUUGUUGUUUUACAGUUCAAAAUGAUCUCAUAUAAUCGGAACGAGAGACAAAAAGUGGGAACAUGUUGCCGCUGCUGCUGCUACUGCUGCUGUCUGGCAUUGGAGUGGGCGUGACGUAAAGGCGGGGGCCGGGGGAAGCAGCGACUCGCAAAAUGCCAGCGGCCAAGAUCUAUAUGCAUAUGUACAUACACACACACUGACACACAUGUAUACUCAUACAUGUGU